GGAGAGAUGUCCGAGAGGUCGAAGGUGGCAGCCUCGAAAACUGCUGUGGGGGUGACUCCGCCAAGGGUUCGAAUCCCUUUCUCUCCG
rnacentral:tRNA from 1 species